GACGAACGCUGGCGGCGGGCUUAACACAUGCAAGUCGAACGGAAAGGCCCUGCUUUUGUGGGGUGCUCGAGUGGCGAACGGGUGAGUAACACGUGAGUAACCUGCCCUUGACUUUGGGAUAACUGCAGGAAACUGGGGCUAAUACCGGAUAGGAGCUCCUGCUGCAUGGUGGGGGUUGGAAAGUUUCGGCGGUUGGGGAUGGACUCGCGGCUUAUCAGCUUGUUGGUGGGGUAGUGGCUUACCAAGGCUUUGACGGGUAGCCGGCCUGAGAGGGUGACCGGCCACAUUGGGACUGCGAUACGGCCCAGACUCCUACGGGAGGCAGCAGUGGGGAAUAUUGCACAAUGGGCGGAAGCCUGAUGCAGCAACGCCGCGUGCGGGAUGACGGCCUUCGGGUUGUAAACCGCUUUCGCCUGUGACGAAGCGUGAGUGACGGUAAUGGGUAAAGAAGCACCGGCUAACUACGUG
rnacentral:rRNA from 1 species